rnacentral:ncRNA from 2 species
UACAUUUGUCGGCGAAUAGGUUUCCGAAUUUCGGAAUGCAAAAGGGAAACAGGUGAGUCCAUCAAAAAAGGACGAUUCCUGUACAGUUCCCGCUGCUGUAAGUCCUGUAAAACUUUUUAAUGAUUGAACCACUGCCCGGAAUUGGGCGGGAAGGUGUUAAAAAGGGGAUGAGUCAGAAGACCUGCCUGUUCGAAUCUGGAUUU